rnacentral:rRNA from 1 species
CGGAGAUGGCGACCGGCGCACGGGUGAGUAACACGUAUCCAACCUGCCGAUAACUCGGGGAUAGCCUUUCGAAAGAAAGAUUAAUACCCGAUGGCAUAAUUAGACCGCAUGGUCUUAUUAUUAAAGAAUUUCGGUUAUCGAUGGGGAUGCGUUCCAUUAGGCAGUUGGUGAGGUAACGGCUCACCAAACCUUCGAUGGAUAGGGGUUCUGAGAGGAAGGUCCCCCACAUUGGAACUGAGACACGGUCCAA